UUGUUCAAUCAAAUCGUGACCAAGUAUCUAAUCAUUGCCAUGCUCCAACUCCACCAGUUCUUCCACUUCCUUCUGAAAAAUAAGUAUUUACAUUUUUGCAAUUUUUAGCAGGUUUAAGUUUUUUUUUUUUUUUCAAGGGAAAACUAGCAGGUUUAAGCUAUGUUUGAAUACAUGUCAUGUAAGUUGUCAUGAUGUUAACUUUAUCACAAGAAAAAACUAUGUCAAUGUAUGUGUCGCCUAAUAAGUUUAUCAAAAAAGAAAAAAAAAAAGUUUAUCAAAAUAUUAUAUCUCUGAUAGUGGUGCCCCAUAUAUUUGGUAAUGUACACGUUGCCCAUAUAUAGGUAUGUCAAUCGGGCUAAACCAGCUCAAUCUGGUCCGAAACUCGUAAAACCCUCAUAUAUG
rnacentral:lncRNA from 1 species